GCUGUCCCUUCCAGGGUCCUGCCCGUCCCCUCCAGGGUCCCGCUGUCCCCCCAGGCACCCUGCCCAGGAGGGGAUUUACCGAUUUUAUCCGGGGCUCCUGCGGGACAGCGGCCGUGAAGGAAUGCGGGCAGCUCCCGGCUGACCCUCGCUGGCUCGGAGUUACCUGCUGCGGUUCAUUUUUUAAUUCUUUAAUUUGGUCCCGGCUUUUGGAAGCCCUCACCGCGCCUCCCCUCAGGGCGCGCACCUGCUCCGCGCCUUGAUCCGCUCUUCCUACACAGCAGCUACCUUCUCUCUUUUUUUUUCCCCCCCCCCCCACUUAUUUCAUGCUGGAAAUCUUCUUGCCUUGAAGUUAUUUUCGGCGGAAAAAAAAAUGAAAGAGCUCAGAUUACACCAUAGCUUGUGUGGUGGAAAAAAGGGGGGGGAAAUCCCAUUUUUUUUAGAAAUAUUUUAAUGCUGCCCCUAAUAGUCCUACGAGUAUAUGCCUCCUUUCACAUUCCGUGAUUUUCCCGCAGAGGAAGCGCCGACCAAGAAGUUCUUCCGCAAGUACAACUGAAUUGAGCAGGACGAAGACACAAAAACUAUGUAAGAGUAAUGCUCGGGCUCUGAAGAGCCCUGAGGAGCUGUUACUCUGAAACAGACCCAGUAUGUUUGCAGGUGCACCCCACCAAACGAAACCCAUUCCAAGGCUGGCAGAGAUGUUCACUACAAGGAACUGGAGAAAACAGGAUGUUUGCUUCUCUCCCAGGCCUGUGCUCUACCAGUCUGACCUGCUUCUCCUCCUUGCCUUUUCUGCUAUUCAGGAACCAGGGCUCCAGAGCUCUACAGCCACAGGAAGCACUGCUGGGGAGGAGAAUUGCUUCCCUGGCUCCUGCAGCUUGGACACCAGCAUGAGGCAAUCAGGAGGGUAAUCAAGGAGAAAGGUAUACAGGAAUUGCCACGAGAACAUUGUGUCUUACUAGGAGUUCCCAGCGCUGCUGAGAUUCAGAGUCUGUUUUCUCAAAACAGCUUGAAAGAGAGCUGAAGUCUCAGGCAGUGAAAUAAUCUUUCUGGCCCCCACCAGCAACAGCUUACAGUGGGAAGCAACAGUGGGAAGCCAUUAAUACAUAGUUAUUGAUGUUGUUAUCAAAAUGUAUUACUAAGAGAAAGGCUCAAAGCUGUCCACUGAUCUUUUUACCAUGACUGUGACAAAAAAGCUUCCAAAGCAUUCAGUGAACACUGACCUCCCUGCUUACCUUGACACAUAAUUUUUCCCACUGUCUUUGGGCACAGGAAGCUCCAAGUGAAAACCCCCAGGUACACAAAGGCAGGAGUGCUGAAGGAAUGUUGGAAGGGUGGAUGGACUGAUGCUGUCCUCUGAUGGAUUCAUUGCCCAGGUUCAUGUGUUUAUAUAAAACCUGCAAUGCUGUUCAUAGCCCCUCAUAGCAGUGGAAUUGGUGAGAGAGCAGCUCUGGGACAAGCACUUCCAGUUCAGUAAAUCUUUGCCUUCCUUUGCUUUGCCAAGUUGCACAAAGUCAUUGGUUCAAGGUCAGUUUCUGUGUGCUUCGUAAAGUGUCCCCAAACCAGCUCUGACACAGCCUCAAUCAGAUCUUUCUUACAGAGCAGCACCACAGUGUGAUGAAGGAAGUAGAACAAACCCAAAUAUCUGAACCUUCAGAAGCUACUUUA